rnacentral:rRNA from 1 species
GUGAGGAAUUUUCCGCAAUGGGCGAAAGCCUGACGGAGCAAUGCCGCGUGAAGGAUGAAGGCCUAUGGGUUGUAAACUUCUUUUCUUAGAGAAGAAUAUUGACGGUAUCUGAGGAAUAAGCAUCGGCUAACUCUGUGCCAGCAGCCGCGGUAAGACAGAGGAUGCAAGCGUUAUCCGGAAUGAUUGGGCGUAAAGCGUCUGUAGGUGGCUUCAAAAGUCUCCUGUCAAAGAUCAGGGCUUAACCCUGGGCCGGCAGGAGAAACUCUGAGGCUAGAGUUUGGUAGGGGCAGAGGGAAUUCCCGGUGGAGCGGUGAAAUACGUAGAGAUCGGGAGGAACACCAAAGGCGAAAGCACUCUGCUGGGCCACAACUGACACUGAGAGACGAAAGCGAGGGGAGCAAAAGGGAAUAGAAACCCGUGUAGUCC